CCUACGGGAGGCUGCAGUGGGGAAUAUUGGACAAUGGGGGCAACCCUGAUCCAGCCAUGCCGCGUGUGUGAAGAAGGCCCUCGGGUUGUAAAGCACUUUCAGUGAGGAAGAACGCCUGGUGGUUAAUACCCAUCAGGAAAGACAUCACUCACAGAAGAAGCACCGGCUAACUCCGUGCCAGCAGCCGAGGUAAUACGGAGGGUGCGAGCGUUAAUCGGAAUUACUGGGCGUAAAGCGCGCGUAGGUGGCUUGAUAAGCCGGUUGUGAAAGCCCCGGGCUCAACCUGGGAACGGCAUCCGGAACUGUCAAGCUAGAGUGCAGGAGAGGAAGGUAGAAUUCCAGGUGUAGCGGUGAAAUGCGUAGAGAUCGGGAGGAAUACCAGUGGCGAAGGCGGCCUUCUGGACUGACACUGACACUGAGGUGCGAAAGCGUGGGUAGCAAACAGGAUUAGAUACCCUAGUAGUC
rnacentral:rRNA from 1 species